ACCCGUUGAUCUCAUGAGCGCCCACCUCAUUGUUGGUCCGUCGCGUGUCUUCCUCACAGAGACAGAGUGAGGAGGGUUUUUUUGGGGCUUUGCUUAUCUUCAGAACUUGAUUGCCCUGCUCAAUCCACCGCUGGGUUCUACUGAUUUUGUGUGACACAGGUUAGGCGAAAACUGCACCAAAGGAUGCUUCUUCAGUUUGUUCAGUUCCAGGUGCCAUUUGGAGAACUGGCCUCCACAAUUUUGCAAUAGUUGAUGCUGCAUACGUCUGUGUUUCUCCACAUUUCACCAAUACAUGCACAGAUCAUCUGUCAAGUUCUGUAACUGAAGGUGGACUUUUGACAACAUAAAUGAAAUUGUCACAUCCCAGUGUUCAGAUGAGUUUCAAAGGAGACACUAAUGCGUAUUGUCAGUACAGUAAAUGGAUUAUCACUUCCUAUCCAAUUUAUGACUAUUCCAUUUUCGGCUAGAGCAGAUGAUUGACUAACCUGCAAUGCUCGCUUUGAGACCCUAAGUGAUCAGCUACAGACAGUCUUUUGACAACAAGAGCAGAGGAGGCAAAACAUGGUGUGAUGAGGACCUCACAACAGCAACUCCAGAGUUUGAGUGGGCAGGCUUCUUCACCCAGCGAGGGUUGUCAGUCUAGCGAAGGUCCAUUCAGUGGUUAAGCUCGCCUUGAGAAGUUUGAUCCGCUCCAGGACAUGGAUGUCACAGUCACUUCCAUUGAAAUCAACAAUGAAGCUAUGAUGCUGCCACACCAAUUCUAAAGCAAUAUUUGGAGCGCCGAAGGAAGAGGACAGGCCAAGAUAUAUAGAAUUCCCCUACAUGGCAGGUCAAAGGAGAACCGAGUGCAAGGAUCAUGAAAGUCUCAUUUUUUUUAAAGGGUCAAAGCCAACAGUUGAAAGAUUUGAAUCAAUGGCCAAAAGAACGGAUCAUAACAUAUUGAAUCUGUUGCCUACAUUGGCUUCCAUAUG